GGGCGCCUCUGCCCAGCCGCCCCUACUGGGAAGUGAGGAGCCCCUCUGCCAGGCCAGCCACCCCGUCUGGGAGGGAGGUGGGGGGCUCAGCCCCCCGCCCGGCCAGCCGACCCGUCCGGGAGGGAGGUGGGGGGUCAGCCCCCCGCCCGGCCAGCCGCCCCGUCCGGGAGGUGAGGGGCGCCUCUGCCCGGCCACCCCUACUGGGAAGUGAGGAGCCCCUCUGCCCAGCCACCACCUCGUCUGGGAGGUGUACCCAACAGCUCAUUGAGAACGGGCCGGGAUGACAAUGGCGGUUUUGUGGAAUAGAAAGGGGGGAAAGGUGGGGAAAAGAUUGAGAAAUCGGAUGGUUGCCGUGUCUGUGUAGAAAGAAGUAGACAUGGGAGACUUUUCAUUUUGUUCUGUACUAAGAUAAAUUCUUCUGCCUUGGGAUCCUGUUGAUCUGUGACCUUACCCCCAACCCUGUGCUCUCUGAAACAUGUGCUGUGUCCACUCAGGGUUAAAUGGAUUAAGGGCGGUGCAAGAUGUGCUUUGUUAAACAGAUGCUUGAAGGCAGCAUGCUCGUUAAGAAUCAUCACCACUCCCUAAUCUCAAGUACCCAGGGACACAAACACUGCGGAAGGCCGCAGGGUCCUCUGCCUAGGAAAACCAGAGACCUUUGUUCACUUGUUUAUCUGCCAACCUUCCCUCCACUAUUGUCCUAUGACCCUGCCAAAUCCCCCUCUGCGAGAAACACCCAAGAAUGAUCAAUAAAAAAAAUAAAAAUUAAAAAAAAAAA
rnacentral:lncRNA from 1 species